rnacentral:rRNA from 1 species
GACGAACGCUGGCGGCGUGCUUAACACAUGCAAGUCGAACGGAAAGGCCCUGCUUUUGUGGGGUGCUCGAGUGGCGAACGGGUGAGUAACACGUGAGUAACCUGCCCUUGACUUUGGGAUAACUUCAGGAAACUGGGGCUAAUACCGGAUAGGAGCUCCUGCUGCAUGGUGGGGGUUGGAAAGUUUCGGCGGUUGGGGAUGGACUCGCGGCUUAUCAGCUUGUUGGUGGGGUAGUGGCUUACCAAGGCUUUGACGGGUAGCCGGCCUGAGAGGGUGACCGGCCACAUUGGGACUGAGAUACGGCCCAGACUCCUACGGGAGGCAGCAGUGGGGAAUAUUGCACAAUGGGCGGAAGCCUGAUGCAGCAACGCCGCGUGCGCGAUGACGGCCUUCGGGUUGUAAACCGCUUUCGCCUGUGACGAAGCGUGAGUGACGGUAAUGGGUAAAGAAGCACCGGCUAACUACGU